UCAGAUGACACAUUGCCAGACUUGACCUUUAUCAAGGUACCUGUUAUUUCUGAGUUAAUCAGUUAACCACAUUCAGUACCAAAAAACGACGUGGAUAACAAUCUAGAGCUAGAGGAAUGCGAUCAGAAGCUCCAAAGACUCUAUUCUUGCGAGAGGAAGGAUCUGUCAGAAGCCAGUGACCCAGUGGGGGACAUGGACUUGAGAAGAAGAUAACAAUCUCUUCAUUGAAUUUGUGCUUCACAGACUACAGCGCACAGUGAGGACUGCCGAGUGCAUCAUUGGAGCCUCCCUGCCCUCUAUUGUGGACCUGCACUCUUCCAGGUUGAAGAAGAGGGCGGGGAACAUCAUAAAGGACUCCUUCCAUCCUGCGCACGGACUGUUUGAACUGCUUCCAUCUGGUAGGCGCUUCAGAUCCCUCCAGACUAAGACUAAUAGGCACUGGAGAAGUUUUUUCCCUACUGCGGUCACUUUGCUGAACAGUUAACUGCCGGUUAACUGUCGGCUAACUAUUACUUGGAUUGCACUACCUGGUUCUUUUGAAGACCGCGACCUGCAGUUAGAAUGCUGACUUUGCGGAAUAGGACCCGCUCUCAGAGUCUCACAACUGGCCGCUAUUCGAUACACCAAGGACGUGGCCUAGAAGACUAGAGUGCCUUCAGGGUUUUAGGAUUUUGUGGCUCUGGAAGCGGGUGGACUCAAGGUCGGUGCCGCUGUUUGGUGCGUCGUGGGAGUACACGGAAGAUUGAAAGCAGCAAGCUGGCUGCUGGCUGUGUGCCCAGAGGCCCGAGUUCUUUGAGCACAGAGCACAGAAAGAGCGACGCAACAGACUUAUAACACUGUAAAUCAGUGAGUUGUUUAUGUCUCCCCUCUCGCUGUGAAACGGGGUUGCCUCUUUUUCCCUUAUUAGGGAGAGAAAGAGUCUGUGGUGUAUUGAGUACCGGGUGAAUAAGUAAGUCUCUGGGGUACUGCAAGUCUGCGUCUUUACCGCUGCUUUGCUGCACGCUUGAGUGCUCAGUGGGGGGCUACUGAUGCAUUUUUUGCUGGUGGGGGGAUCGUUGCUUUGCUGCUGCUUGUGCAUGGGAGGGGGAGCUGGGGAGGCUUUGGGUUCUAACAUUUAACUGUCAUUCAA